rnacentral:rRNA from 1 species
UACGUAGGUGGCAAGCGUUGUCCGGAUUUAUUGGGUUUAAAGGGUGCGUAGGCGGUUCUUUAAGUCAGUUGUGAAAUACGGCAGCUCAACUGUCGAGGUGCAAUUGAUACUGGGGAACUAGAGUACUGGUGAGGUAUGCGGAAUGGACGGUGUAGCGGUGAAAUGCUUAGAUAUCGUCCAGAACACCGAUAGCGAAGGCAGCAUACUAAGGAGUAACUGACGCUGAGGCACGAAAGUGUGGGGAUCAAAC